rnacentral:rRNA from 1 species
AGCGAACGCUGGCGGCAUGCUUAACACAUGCAAGUCGAACGCCCCGCAAGGGGAGUGGCAGACGGGUGAGUAACACGUGGGAACGUACCCUUUGGUUCGGAAUAACUUUGGGAAACUCAAGCUAAUACCGGAUAAGCCCUUAUGGGGAAAGGUUUACUGCCGAAGGAUCGGCCCGCGUCUGAUUAGCUGGUUGGUGAGGUAAUGGCUCACCAAGGCGACGAUCAGUAGCUGGUAUGAGAGGAUUAUCAGCCACACUGGGACUGAGAAACGGCCCAGAAUCCUACGGGAGGCAGCAGUGGGGAAUAUUGGACAAUGGGGGCAACCCUGAUCCAGCCAUGCCGCGUGAGUGAUGAAGGCAUUAGGGUUGUAAAGCUCUUUUAACCGGGACGAUAAUGACUGUACCGGGAGAAUAAGCCCCGGCUAACUUCGUGCCAGCAGCCGCGGUAA